rnacentral:rRNA from 1 species
GACGUAGGGCGCGAGCGUUGUCCGGAUUUAUUGGGCGUAAAGAGCUCGUAGGCGGCUUGUCGCGUCGAAUGUGAAAACUCGGGGCUCAACUCCGAGCUUGCAUUCGAUACGGGCAGGCUAGAGUUCGGUAGGGGAGACUGGAAUUCCUGGUGUAGCGGUGAAAUGCGCAGAUAUCAGGAGGAACACCGGUGGCGAAGGCGGGUCUCUGGGCCGAUACUGACGCUGAGGCGCGACAGCGUGGGGAGCAAACAGG